GCCUUUGAGCCCCUGCUGCCCCUGCAAGUGGUGGGGUCUCUAGAGCUUGCGCAUAACUGGGGUCCACUGCUCCCUGGCUGGUGGUCUUUUUAAACGCAAGUGACAUGG